AGGAGCAAAAAUCUGUCCCCGACCCAAAAUCCCCCAAAACCCUUCUCCCUCUUGCCGCCGCCAUGAAGCGGAAGCAGAGCGCCGCCGCCGCCGCCGCCGAAGUCGACGCCGACGAGCCCUCCCAGGCCCCGCUGCCCCUCGACGACUACUCGGGCGACGUCUGCGCCGCCCUCACCGCGCGCUACGGCCGCUCCGCCUCCGCGCAGCACCGCCACCUCCUCGCCACCGCCGCCGCCAUCGGCUCCAUCCUCACCGACGACGGGCGCCCCCUCACCGCCGAGUCCUACCUCCCCGCCGUCGUCUCCGCGCUCCGGGCCGCCGGCCCCUCUGACCCCGCCGCCGCCGCCGCCCUCGCGUCCCUCCUCGUCAUCCUCAUCCCCCACAUCUCCUCCCUGCCGCCGGCCUCCGCCUCCGAGCCUGCCUCCUCGCUCGCCGCCUUCCUCGCCUCCCCUGACGCCUCCAAGCUCCCCACCGGCACGGUGCGCUCGGUGGUCAAGUCGCUCGGCCAGCUGGCCCUCCAUCUCGACGCCGCAGCCGAUUGGGGCGCUGUCGCUGCGCCUCUGGAGGCUCUCCUCGCUGCCUCUGUGGAUCAGCGGGCCAAGGUCCGAAGAUGCGCGCAGGAGAGCGUGGAGAAGCUAUUUUCUUACUUGGAGCGUUCCGGUUGUGCGAAGAAAGCUAGCAGUUCUGCAAUCGACUUGUUUGAGAAACACAUUUUGUCGGUGAGAAGUCUUGCCAAGUUGGAUUCAGACGCUUCCGAGGCUAAGGAGACGGAGGCAGUUCAUAUGCUAGGCGCGGUGGCAGUUUUAAUUCCAUAUCUAUCUAAGAAGGCAAGGAAGACGGUUUUCUCGGGUGCUUAUCGGCUAUUGAGACCCCGUUUUAGCCCACUAACAAGGCAUGUCCUCAGGCUUAUGGAGACCUUGUUGGAGCAUCUUAAGGCUGAGAAUAUUGAGUCGGAGUUGGAGAAGCUCAUCUCCUUAGUGUUGGCUUACCUGCCUUACGAUGAGAAGAAGCCUGAUGAUACCAUCACCGCAGCAUUACAGCUGAUGAGAAAUUGUUUAGGGAAACUGGUUGGUUGCCCAAAAUUGUGGACAAAGGUUCUUCCGUCUGCAUUCGAGGCAGCUUCAGGAUAUCUAAUUCUGGACAGUAAAUGUUCUGAAGAUGUAGCGGAACUGUUAAUACAGUGCAUCUAUUCUCAUGUCGACCAAAGUAUUUUUGUGACUAAGGAAUCAGGGUGUGAUGCUGAAGAUUCGAUCGAUGGGGCUGCCAUCAAAUCAAUCUGUUUGUCUAUCAAUAAAAAACUUAGAAAGUGUGCUUCUCCUCCUCAAAAUGUGUUAAAAAUUGUCUUGGCUAUGUUUCUCAAACUCGGGGAGAGUUCUUAUGUCUUUAUGAAAGAUAUCCUACUAACUUUGUCACGGCUUGGUUCGAAAAUACACAAAGAACCACACCUGAAGAAUGUUGAGGAGUGCAUUGGGGCAGCAAUAGUUGCUAUGGGGCCAGAUAAAAUUCAUUCUCUACUUCCACUAUCUUUUGAGGAGGCUUGGUUUACAUGCUCAAAUAUGUGGAUUGUACCCAUUUUAAACAAGUAUGUUUAUGGGGCCUCACUACAACACUUUUUAGAGUACAUUGUACCACUAGCAAAAUCUUUACGAGAGGCUUCAAGCAGGGCCAAAAAAGCACGGAAAUGUAAGGAAUUGCAAGGUUGGAGUGAUCAAUUGUGGAAUUUGCUUCCUGCCUUCUGCCGCUAUCCGUCUGAUGUAUAUCAGAAUUUUGGUUCCUUGUCCAAACUGCUGCUAGAGAUGCUGAAGUCUGAUCGGUGUCUCUACAAACCCGCUAGUAAAGGCCUGCAGCAACUUAUAGAUGGAACUAGAAGAUUAAGCAACAGUGAUGAAGACGUAGAAGUCCCUGCAGAAGUUUCAGCCUUGUUCUCCUCAAAGACUAGUAACUUAAGCUGUGUAAGCUUACAACGGUGCUCUAAAAAAGAUGCUCAUAAAAGCAUGAAAGUCUUGGCAUCACAUUCUGUGGAUCUUCUUUGCACUUUUGCAGAUGAUUUCCUUGAAUCAUCAGAAAAGCGUGCUCAUUUAAAGGAUGCGCUGAGAUCCCUGGCUCAAAUUUCUGGCAGCGCAAACAUCUGUAACCUUUUUCUUUCACUACUUAAAAAAUGUGGUUUGGAAGAUACUCCAUCGACACCAGAGAAUCUAGAAUGUGAAGCAAAUGAGGUAGAUGGAAAAGGCGAAGAGAAUACUGAUUCAACAGUGGAGAUAAAUAAUAAGAGGUCACUUCUGAUGGAACUCAUUUCAACACUAGCUGAAGCUGCUGAUGAGGAUGUUCUUGAUUUGUUUUUUGGAUUCAUCAAAUCUUCUUUACUGGAUAGCAGCAAGUCAUGUGAGAGCAAAGCUCUCUUCGCAUUAAGCACAAUUUUGAAGGAACACCAUGAAUAUUCGUUAGCCCAGUUGGAUGAAAUAAUGAUGCUUCUUCAUGGAAUAAAGCCAGAUUCUAACAAUGCAGUUUUAGAAGGUCAAUUAGUAUGCUACAAGUAUCUGUUGGUUCACAUGAUUAAGGUUAAUGAAGAGAGCACAAGCAAGAAGGCAUUCUUGAUUCUAAAUGAGUUGAUACUUGCAUUGAAGUCUAAGAAGGAAAGUAGAAGACUAGCAUACGAUGUACUCCUGGCUAUUAGUACUAGCUUGAGGAAUUCUGAAUUGAAUAACGGAGAUUCAGAUCUUCAACGGCUAUUCACAAUGGUGAUGGGAUAUCUUUCUAGUCCGUCUCCUCACAUAGUGAGCGGAGCAAUAGCUGCAUUAUCAUUGCUUAUAUACACUGACGCUGACUUCUGCGUGGAAGUUCCAAAUUUGAUACCAUCAGUCCUAGUUCUGCUGCAAAAUAAAGCUAUUGAAGUAAUUAAGGCAUCUCUGGGGUUUGUUAAGGUGUUGGUAACAUCUUUGCAAUCAGAAAAACUGUUGGGUUUGCAAGCAGAUAUCAUGACUGGCAUAUUACCAAUGUCAUCUGUUACAAAGCACCAUUUCAAAGGGAAGGUUAUACUAAUAGUGGAAAUAUUGAUCAGAAAAUGUGGAUUUGAUGCUAUUGACUUAGUUACACCUGAAAAGUACAAGGAGUUUGUUAGAAGUGUUGAAGAGGGCCGCAAGGGGAAUAAUAAUAAUCCAGCAGAUGGUGCACAGUCCGAGGCAAAAGAUCCCGAGCAUCAUGCUCCAAAGAGAGGAAAAUGGGCCGAUUCUAAUGCGGAGCCUUUGCAAGACGAAGUGUCAACCGGAAAGAAGGAAUUCUUCGUCAAAGGGGCAGGGAAGCCUCACUUCCGGGGCGGUAGAGGUAGAGGCAGAGGGGAGAUCGGGAAGGAAAUAUCGGAUACGGAUGACGCACCGCCGCGCAGGGAGGCCGAGGGCUCGCUUCAAGUGCCCGCGCGGGCUCCCGGCCCAUGCAGGUGUACAUGGCCAAGGAGACGGAGACCAACGAGAUCGUCGCGCUCAAGAAGAUCCGCAUGGACAACGAGCGCGAGGGCUUCCCCAUCACGGCGAUACGCGAGAUCAAGAUCCUCAAGAAGCUGCACCACCAGAACGUCAUCCAGCUCAAGGAGAUCGUCACCUCCCCAGUCGAUGGUAACAAGUACAAGGGGAGCAUCUACAUGGUCUUCGAGUACAUGGACCACGACCUCACCGGGCUCGCCGACAGGCCCGGGAUGCGCUUCACCGUGCCGCAGAUCAAGUGCUACAUGAAGCAGCUGCUCACGGGCCUGCACUACUGCCACGUCAAUCAGGUGCUGCAUCGAGAUAUCAAAGGUUCGAACCUUUUGAUAGACAAUGAGGGUAACCUCAAGCUUGCUGAUUUUGGGCUUGCGAGGUCAUUCUCCAGUGACCACAAUGGCAACCUGACUAACCGUGUCAUCACAUUAUGGUAUAGACCUCCAGAAUUGCUUCUUGGAAGCACAAGGUAUGGUCCAGCUGUUGACAUGUGGUCUGUGGGCUGUAUUUUUGCCGAGCUUCUUAAUGGAAAGCCAAUCCUGCCAGGAAAGAAUGAGCCGGAGCAGCUGACCAAAAUUUUCGAGCUUUGUGGCACCCCUGACGAGUUAAUCUGGCCUGGUGUCACUAAGAUGCCAUGGUACAACAACUUCAAGCCUCCCCGAGUAUUGAAGAGAAAAGUUAAAGAUGCCUUUAAACAUUUUGACCGGCAUGCUCUGGACCUGUUGGAGAGGAUGUUAACUUUAGAUCCAUCUCAGAGGAUACCAGCGAAGGAGGCACUUGAUGCAGAGUAUUUCUGGACUGAUCCCUUGCCAUGUGAUCCGAAAAGUUUGCCGUCAUAUGAAGCAUCACACGAAUUCCAGACUAAGAAAAAACGUCAGCAGCAGAGGCAAGCAGAGGAAGCUGCAAAGCGCCAAAAAAUAAAUCAUCCUCCCCCACAUUCUCGCUUGCCUCCGAUCCAGCAUCCAGGCCAAUCGCACCAGAUCAGGCCUGGCCAUGCGCCACCUGUGGCAGGUGGCCCGAGCCACUAUGCAAAACCUCGAGGACCUGGAGGGCCUAACAGGUACCCGCAAGGUGGAAACCAAGGCGCAGGCUAUAAUAACCCGAACCGCGGAGGGCAGGGCAGCGGCUACGGGAGCGCCCCGUAUCCUCAGCAAGGCAGAGGACCUCCUCCGUUCCCUGCAGCAAGUGGUCCACGUGGUAGUGCUGGCAGUGGAUAUGGAGUCGGCGGGCCAAAUUACCCACCAGGUGGUCCGCCAUAUGGCACGUCUGGUCCAGGUCGAGGAGGCCCGAACUAUCCUCAAGGCGGUUCUCGCAAUCAGCAGCAGUAUGGUAGCUGGCAAUAAUAUUUGUCAUAUCAUGUCGCGAUGACACGCCCCUCCAGUUGGAGUAUUUUUUAUUUGUAGAAUGUUUGCUGUUCAAAUUCUGCUUUAUGUGAUUGUUGCGCAACAGCUCUUAAGGUACGUCCUUUAUGAUUCAAGCUGUAUUUUAUCAAUGUAUAAACUGAGAUUGUAGCAGAACAGGCUAUUGAAGUGUGUCGUUUAUGAUUCAAUUUGUAUGUUAUGAAUACACGAAAUGUAUAAUCACCUUAUGAUUCAUGCUGUAUGUUAUGAAUGUAUGACCAUUAAUGAAA